rnacentral:rRNA from 1 species
CCUACGGGUGGCAGCAGUGGGGAAUAUUGGACAAUGGGGGGAACCCUGAUCCAGCCAUGCCGCGUGUGUGAAGAAGGCCCUCGGGGUGUAAAGCACUUUCAGUGAGGAAGAACGCCUGGUGGUUAAUACCCAUCAGGAAAGACAUCACUCACAGAAGAAGCACCGGCUAACUCCGUGCCAGCAGCCGCGGUAAUACGGAGGGUGCGAGCGUUAAUCGGAAUUACUGGGCGUAAAGCGCGCGUAGGUGGCUUGAUAAGCCGGUUGUGAAAGCCCCGGGCUCAACCUGGGAACGGCAUCCGGAGCUGUCAAGCUAGAGUGCAGGAGAGGAAGGUAGAAUUCCCGGUGUAGCGGGGAAAUGCGUAGAGAUCGGGAGGAAUACCAGUGGCGAAGGCGGCCUUCUGGACUGACACUGACACUGAGGUGCGAAAGCGUGGGUAGCAAACAGGAUGAGAUACCCCAGUAGUC